rnacentral:rRNA from 1 species
GACGAACGCUGGCGGCGCGCUUAACACAUGCAAGUCGAACGGAAAGGCCUGCUUUCCCUUGUGGAUUGCGGGUACUCGAGUGGCGAACGGGUGAGUAACACGUGAGUGAUCUGCCCCCAACUUGGGUAUAAGCCUGGGAAACUGGGUCUAAUUCCCGAUAGGACUGCAGGGUGGUGCCUGUGGUGGAAAACGAUUUUCUAGUGGUUGGGGAUGAGCUCGCGGCCUAUCAGCUUGUUGGUGGGGUAAUGGCCUACCAAGGCGGCGACGGGUAGCCGGCCUGAGAGGGUGGACGGCCACAUUGGGACUGAGAUACGGCCCAGACUCCUACGGGAGGCAGCAGUGGGGAAUAUUGCACAAUGGGCGGAAGCCUGAUGCAGCGACGCCGCGUGGGGGAUGACGGCCUUCGGGUUGUAAACUCCUUUCGACCGCGAGGAAGCCACCUGGUUGGAAGGGUGGUGACGGUAGUGGUAGAAGAAACACCGGCUAACUACGU